CCUGUUUAUCAAAAACAGGCCUUUUGUUUGUAAAUGGAAAAAAAGGUCUGGCCUGCCCGGUGGAGACAAAGCGCUCUAAACGGUCGCAGCUACCACUGUGCGAAGGUAGCGUAAUAGGUCGUCCUUUAAUUGGGGGAGAGUAUGAAUGGUCGGACGUUGGAAGGACUUUAUUGGAGGCACGGAGUUGAAGUUUACUUUCUAGUGCAAAGGCUGGGAUAGAUUUAUUAGACGAGAAGACCCUAUUGAGCUUGGUAAGCUUAGAUGGUUAUAGUUUAGGUGUAUGUUUUUUCGGGGCCGAAAAGAAGAGAUUAAUAUCUUCUACUUUUGAUAAGGAUCCAAUAUGGUUGAGAAGGAGAAGAUAGUUACCAUAGGGAUAACAGCGCAAUUUUCUUGAGAAGAUCAUAUUUAAGAGGGAGUUUGCGACCUCGAUGUUGAAUCAGAGUUUCUACUGGGUGUAGCAGCUUGGUAAGUGGGACUGUUCGUCCUUUAAAGCUCUACGUGAUCUGAGUUCAGACC
rnacentral:rRNA from 1 species